UACAGAGGUCCCAAGCGUUGUUCGGAUUCAUUGGGCGUAAAGGGUGCGUAGGCGGCGCCGUAAGUCGGAUGUGAAAUCUCGGGGCUCAACCCCGAAACUGCAUUCGAUACUGCGGUGCUAGAGGGCUCUAGAGGAAACUGGAAUUCACGGUGUAGCAGUGAAAUGCGUAGAUAUCGUGAGGAAGACCAGUGGCGAAGGCGGGUUUCUGGAGAGUUCCUGACGCUGAGGCACGAAGGCCAGGGGAGCAAACGGG
rnacentral:rRNA from 1 species